rnacentral:rRNA from 1 species
CGCGUGUGUGAAAAGGUCUUCGGAUUGUAAAGCACUUUAAGUUGGGAGGAAGGGCAUUAACCUAAUACGUUGAUGUUUUGACGUUACCGACAGAAUAAGCACCGGCUAACUCUGUGCCAGCAGCCGCGGUAAUACAGAGGGUGCAAGCGUUAAUCGGAAUUACUGGGCGUAAAGCGCGCGUAGGUGGUUUGUUAAGUUGGAUGUGAAAGCCCCGGGCUCAACCUGGGAACUGCAUCCAAAACUGGCAAGCUAGAGUAGGGCAGAGGGUGGUGGAAUUUCCUGUGUAGCGGUGAAAUGCGUAGAUAUAGGAAGGAACACCAGUGGCGAAGGCGACCACCUGGGCUCAUACUGACACUGAGGUGCGAAAGCGUGGGGAGCAAACA